AAUCAUUCUACUCUCCCUCAAUGGGAGGAAUAGUCCCAGUGUUCUAACCCAGCUGCAGUCCCAAGACGGGAUACAUGUGAUAGGACCAUGUGCACCACUACGAUGGUCCUCACCACUAUUGCUGUCAUCCUAUACAGAAAGUUCUCAAACCGAGUCGAACCGCACAAUGUUGAUGAUACCAAUGAGGAGCCCUACAUGAAGAGCAAUGGAAUGGACCCUAAGAAAUAACAACCCUCACAGCAGAUGUAGCUCUAGUCUACAGUCUACAUGACACGAACUGAAGACAGGUCUUCACCUUGAUGGCUACACAUCUGAUCCCUCUAAUGUUAUUUCAGCAGAGGAUUGUCCCAGGAGGCCUCCCUCCUCCUUCUUGAGGCAGGAGAAUUCCAUUUCUGGGAAUGAAACCUCAACCAAUCACAUCUUGGUGGAGCUGAAUCUACAGAACAACAUCUUGGUUUAUUGUGGGUAUCUUGUUUUGUCGAGUUUGAUGUUUUCUUAAGGCUUAAAGUAGGCCAAUGGUCAAUGUAAAACUGUUGGAAUGUGUUCCGUGCCUCAAAAAACAGUAGUUUUAUUUGAUUGUCAAAUAGGGCUAUACAGAUUUGUGUCCAUUGAGUAAAUUAUAAUGGCUUUUAAAGAAGAGGCAGAACUUUAAAAUUAUGCACUUUAAAUGUUAGGAUGUUUUUGGUAAUCUUUCACAUUCCUAAAGUGACUAAAAUAUUGUUUUUGACUGAAACAAGGAGCUACGUAUAAGCAAUAUGUUUAAAAUGAAUCGCUUGAACCCAUAAAUAUUUGACCAAAUGUCAGAGAACAUAAAUGUCUUGUCGUGAAGAUGUGUGUGCCAUGGCUACUCAAUCUGAAGAGCAAUGGAGAGGCAUCUGUUUUGUACCUCUCUGUCAACCCUCUCCAGUCACAAUGUAUUGCUAUGUGAUGAAAGAAAGCAUGCAAUGAAUCACCUCUUCCCCUACACCUUUAGCAUCCCGUUGGUCCCAUUGAAGGAGCAACAGUCAAAAAGAGGUGUCUGCCUAUGUUCAAAACACAGCUCCAACUUUACUUGACAUUUUUAAAAGCAGCUUAGUGUCACCUUAGUAAACGUCUGCCUUGAGUCAGAGCUUGGUGAUGCUGGUGGUUACUGGUAAGACGGGUUGUUACAGAAUCAAGUUUCCUUUGACAUGACAUCUUACAACCUGCUUCUUCUCUCUAAAGCAAACAUUAUGUCUGUUCUUUGCUCUCCCCACCUGAUCAAAUAAAGAGAUUGGAAAAAUGUAUUUAGUUUGUACAUAUGUUUAUGGCCUUGGUUUGAAUUUUCCCUU